AACAACAUCAUUUAUCAACAAAAACAACAACUUACCUUAACAAAACAACAAUAUACCUUAACAAAAACAUCAACAUAUCUCAACAAAAACAUAUACAAUAAUAAUAACAAUAAUUUACCUUAACAAAACAACACCAUGCCUCAACAAAAACAUCAAGAUACCUAAACAAUAACAUCCACAAUGACACAAACAACAAUAUACGAUCUAUACAAAGACAAAAACACGCAUCAACAAAAAC
rnacentral:lncRNA from 1 species